rnacentral:rRNA from 1 species
UACGGAGGGGGCUAGCGUUGUUCGGAAUUACUGGGCGUAAAGCGCGCGUAGGCGGCUUUGUAAGUCAGAGGUGAAAUCCUGGAGCUUAACUCCAGAACUGCCUUUGAGACUGCAUCGUUUGAAUCGUGGAGAGGUAAGUGGAAUUCCGAGUGUAGAGGUGAAAUUCGUAGAUAUUCGGAAGAACACCAGUGGCGAAGGCGACUUACUGGACACGUAUUGACGCUGAGGUGCGAAAGCGUGGGGAGCAAACAGG